UGAGCGUUGUUGAAUGAAGACCGCGGGGAGGUUGAGCGGUGGGUUCCGUGUUUUAAGGGGGUUCGGCUGAGCGGCAGGACGAGUCAGUUUUGUUCUCCGUCCGCCACGACGAUGGCCACCAUCAGGACCGCCACGACGACGACGUGGAGACGAAUCCGCGCCGCUCUUUGUCUGUUGCUCGCCGCCGCCGGCGGUCGCGGAUUGGCGCAACGGGGACUCGGUAACACAAAAACACAAACACACAAAAACACCGAUCCGCACGUUUUGAUCGUAAGAUGAUUACGAAGGAGGGAAAAUAAUUACAACAAAAAAAACCACCGCCGAAGCUCGCUCGCUCGCUCGUCGCUCGCUGCGGCAACGGCGGGGAGAGGUCGUUGAAGAGACGAGUGACUGAAGCGGUAAAGUCUUUAACGUCCGUGUGACCGACUGAGUCAGAGAGCCGGGGGCGGCGGGGUUGGACUUUAACAAAGCAACGUUGACGACGUUACGUCCCACGUUGUUACCACGCGAGGACUCCUCCCUCCCCUAGAGCAUCUGACGAUGCAACGCGAGCGAAGCGGAAAGUGUUCAGCGAGCCUGACUCUGCCGAUGAGAAGCGGCAACGCCGAAACCGGUGCAGGAGAUUUGCUUGCUCGGAACAAAUUCUACCACCGGGGGGAGUAACGCUCGCCUGGAGAGGCGACACGUGGAAGGGUAAUCGACUCAAAGAUAACUUGUGUGUGUGUGUGUCUGAUGUCAGGGCAAGGUUGGCGUGCGCUUACGUAAACUCGGGACGUGUGUUGAACCGUCGGUCAGAUCCAUCGCCAGAGCUGGGGAGUGGAGACGGAGGGCAUCUGACGGGAGAUGGAGCAGCGAGCGGUGAUGAUGGAGUCACCCCCAGAGACGGAUUCCUUUCCGAGACAGAGGGCAGCAGAGGCGGCGGUGAGGGUUUGCCGGGAGACCUGGGGAUGCGUGUUCUCUGCGGGAGUGACGGAGUCGAGUUGCGUGUGGAACCGAGUUUCUUCCUGAAACGUGGAAUCCAGCUGCCCGAUCUGCACUUGAACGAUCGUCGUUGUGGGGGGGUGGCGCUAUGG